UGGGGUUCCAGCGUCUGCACCUUCAGAAGCUGCGCUGAAGCCUUGAAGUGCAGCCUCUGCGAUGUGAGGGAAGGCACCUCCACCAGGGCUUUUCAAGGAGUAUGGUCUUAAUGGAACACUUGCAUGUCGAUUGCUCAGGCUUUAAUCCUCCAGCCCGUGGCUACUCCACAGGGAAGAAAACGUCUGACUGUUGGCUGGAAGUUAGUACCCUGGCCAGAAUGAUAUUUGUGGAGAGAGGGAGAGAGAAUC